ACCGGAGGUGUGACCCGGCAGACGCGAGCUCGGCUUUUCGCCUCGGGAGCGGGCAGGAGGCGACCGCGGAGGUUGGCGAGGGGCGGCCAGGGCCCCCAGCCCCGGGGCAGGGCCGGACCGCGAGGGAGGCGGGGUCAGAGAGCGCUCACCUCCGCUCGGACUCCAUCUCUGCCCGCCCCGCCCGAUCUAAGCCCCCUUUCCGGGCACCGGCUGGGCGCCUCGCGACCGUUGUGGUUUGGCUCCCUCCUUUCAGCUUUCCGUUGCGGAGCCUGGAAUCGAGGCCUGUGCGCUGGACCGGGCUGAAAGGUUUCUUGGGUCACCUGUCCGGCUUGUCUCCCGUCGCUCCAGGCACCUGCUCUUAGGCACUGAGGGUGACAGACAGAAUUCAAGAGAUGUCUUGUAGAAGCCCCAAAGAUUUAAUUAAAAGUAAAUGGCGGUCAAAGUCUAGUAACUCCAAAUCAGAAACUACAUUAGAAAAUGUUAGGGGGAAAACUGCAGCCUUACAAACGUCAGUGGAUGAAAUCACAGGCGGAAGAGCAAAGCUGACUGAUAAAGAAAGACACAGACUUUUGGAGGUAAAUGGCCUUAAAAACCCUUUCAAUUGUAGUAAGCUUUAUGGGAGGAAAUGAGACACUAUUUUCCCACUAAUGAUAUAAUCUAGCUUUUCUGUUAGUUUACUAAAUGUAAAAAAUCAUGUCUAACUUCAAAGUGAUAAAUAGAGUUCGGAUAUUAGUAUGAGUAUUUAGAAACCUAUUUUAUUGUGUAUAUUGGCUGCUUUUCAAGUAAUCUUUGUUUUCAGGUUCUUUUGAGAUCAUAGCAUUACAUACAUUGGCAUUUUGCAUUCUUUUAAACUAUAUUUCAGGUUCCCUAAUUUUCAGUUUGUUGUGGCAUAGUCAGUAAAGCAGUUGGGAAUUUAUUAA